rnacentral:tRNA from 1 species
AAGAAAGUUACAAGAACUGCUAACUCUUGAUUCCGUACCUAACCUUACGGCUUUCUUA